UCUAGAACUUAAGAUAUGGGCUGAAUACUGAACAGUGUCUGGGCUGCAGGACAGAUUCUGACUUCUCUUUUGUUGUUACAAUUUGAACUUGAAAACGACCGUUUUGAAUCUUGAACUCUUCAUGAAAGUUUUAGGCCUAUGGCUUAGUUUUUCAUC
rfam:Populus trichocarpa scaffold_13_contig_100, whole genome shotgun sequence.